GGGUGGUUUGAUGUCUCGAUACUGUAGGGGCCGACUCCGGUUCGGGGUUGAUCCUGUC
rfam:Synechococcus sp. CC9605, complete genome.